UGGGGAAUUUUGGACAAUGGGCGAAAGCCUGAUCCAGCAAUGCCGCGUGUGUGAAGAAGGCCUUCGGGUUGUAAAGCACUUUUGUCCGGAAAGAAAUCCCUGGCUCUAAUACAGUCGGGGGAUGACGGUACCGGAAGAAUAAGCACCGGCUAACUACGUGCCAGCAGCCGCGGCAAUACGUAGGGUGCAAGCGUUAAUCGGAAUUACUGGGCGUAAAGCGUGCGCAGGCGGUUUGCUAAGACCGAUGUGAAAUCCCCGGGCUCAACCUGGGAACUGCAUUGGUGACUGGCAGGCUAGAGUAUGGCAGAGGGGGGUAGAAUUCCACGUGUAGCAGUGAAAAUGCGUAGAGAUGUGGAGGAAUACCGAUGGCGAAGGCAGCCCCCUGGGCCAAAUACUGACGCUCAUGCACGAAAAGCGUGGGGAGCAAAACAGGAUUAGAUACCCUGGUAGUCCACGCCCUAAAACGAUGUCAACUAGUUGUUGGGGAUUCAUUUCCUUAGUAACGUAGCUAACGCGUGAAGUUGACCGCCUGGGGAGUACGGUCGCAAGAUUAAAAACUCAAAUGAAUUGACGGGGUCAUAGCUGUUUCCU
rnacentral:rRNA from 1 species